GAGUUUGAUCCUGGCUCAGAACGAACGCUGGCGGCGUGCUUAACACAUGCAAGUCGAACGGAUUUGAGAAGCUUGCUUCUCAAGUUAGUGGCGCACGGGUGAGUAACGCGUAGAUAAUCUGCCUGAUGAUCUGGGAUAACACUUCGAAAGGGGUGCUAAUACCGGAUAAGCCCACGGAGUCUUUGGACUUUGCGGGAAAAGGGGGGGACCUUCGGGCCUUCUGUCGUCAGAUGAGUCUGCGUACCAUUAGCUAGUUGGUGGGGUAAUGGCCCACCAAGGCUACGAUGGUUAGCUGGUCUGAGAGGAUGAUCAGCCACACUGGAACUGAGACACGGUCCAGACUCCUACGGGAGGCAGCAGUGGGAAUUUUGCGCAAUGGGGGAAACCCUGACGCAGCAACGCCGCGUGAGUGAUGAAGGCUUUCGGGUCGUAAAGCUCUGUCAGAGGGGAAGAAAUGAGACUGGCUAAUAUCCAGUUUUCUUGACGGUACCCUCAAAGGAAGCACCGGCUAACUCCGUGCCAGCAGCCGCGGUAAUAC
rnacentral:rRNA from 1 species